rnacentral:rRNA from 1 species
GAUUAACGCUGGCGGCGUGCAUAACACAUGCAAGUCGAACGAUGAAACUUUAAUGACCCCUUCGGGGAGAAUUAAAGCGGAUUAGUGGCGAACGGGUGAGUAACGCGUGAGUAACCUGCCUUACACAAGGGGAUAGCCUUUGGAAACGAAGAAUAAUACCCUAUAAAACCAUAAAAGCACAUGCAAUUAUGGUCAAAGUGAUAGCGGUGUAAGAUGGACUUGCGUCUGAUUAGCUAGUUGGUGAGAUAAAAGCCCACCAAGGCAACGAUCAGUAGCCGGCUUGAGAGAGUGUACGGCCACAUUGGGACUGAGACACGGCCCAGACUCCUACGGGAGGCAGCAGUGGGGAAUUUUGCACAAUGGGGGAAACCCUGAUGCAGCGACGCCGCGAGAUUUAGAAGGCCUUCGGGUUGUAAAAAUCUUUUGUAUAGGAAGAAAAUGACAGUACUAUACGAAUAAGGUCCGGCUAAUUACGUG